rnacentral:rRNA from 1 species
UACAGAGGGUGCAAGCGUUAUUCGGAAUUACUGGGCGUAAAGCGCGCGUAGGCGGACUGUUAAGUCGGUUGUGAAAGCCCUGGGCUCAACCUAGGAACUGCAUCCGAUACUGGCAAUCUAGAGUUUAAGAGAGGGAAGUGGAAUUCCAGGUGUAGCAGUGAAAUGCGUAAAUAUCUGGAGGAACAUCAGUGGCGAAGGCGACUUCCUGGCUUAAAACUGACGCUGAGGUGCGAAAGCUUGGGUAGCGAACGGGAUUAGAUACCCCGGUAGUCCAAGCCGUAAACGAUGUCAACUAGCUGUUGGUCUUAUUAAAAAGAUUAGUAGCGUAGCUAACGCGAUAAGUUGACCGCCUGGGGAGUACGGUCGCAAGAUUAAA